AUGAACGCUGGCGGCGUGCUUAACACAUGCAAGUCGAACGGAAAGGCCCAAGCUUGCUUGGGUACUCGAGUGGCGAACGGGUGAGUAACACGUGGGUGAUCUGCCCUGCACUUCGGGAUAAGCCUGGGAAACUGGGUCUAAUACCGGAUAGGACGAUGGUUUGGAUGCCAUUGUGGAAAGUUUUUUCGGUGUGGGAUGAGCUCGCGGCCUAUCAGCUUGUUGGUGGGGUAAUGGCCUACCAAGGCGUCGACGGGUAGCCGGCCUGAGAGGGGGUACGGCCACAUUGGGACUGAGAUACGGCCCAGACUCCUACGGGAGGCAGCAGUGGGGAAUAUUGCACAAUGGGCGCAAGCCUGAUGCAGCGACGCCGCGUGGGGGAUGACGGCCUUCGGGUUGUAAACUCCUUUCGCUAGGGACGAAGCGUUUUUGUGACGGUACCUGGAGAAGAAGCACCGGCUAACUACGUG
rnacentral:rRNA from 1 species